AUUUACAUAUCCCAUAAGUGUCUUCCUAUUUUAUCUAUCAUUGAAGGAGGACACUCCUUCAAGCGAAACAGGUUUUAGUUGGAAGAAGACUUUUUCAAAAGCUCCCAGACAUAGCAUAUACAGCCUUAUUUGACUCGGGAAUAGGACAAUGAACAACAUUUGGCACAAUAAGUAACUUACUCAAGGAUUCAUGUCAACAAGACUUUAAGUUUGGAAAAGAGAACCACCCCAAGACCCAGAGUGAGGAACAGCAUGAGAAGAAUCAAGAUGCCGGCCCCUCUGAGGGUCAGAAUCAUAACAAUUGCCAUCCUCACCAACCUCUAAUGCGGUGGUCCCAUUUCAGGCUGGGGUGGCGGGUGUGGAUAUACAUCCUCAUCUAGGCUUCAUCUCAAUAGGAUCAUCUCCAGACUGUGUUCAGGCAGCUCUACCUCAUAACGAUGGCUCUUCCUCACAGCAUUCACCUCAACACCAGCUUCUUCAAUGAUGCAGUCAUAACAUCAGGUAUGAAAAGCUCCAGUAGCCUUGGAAGAAGAGAUUACGUGAAGGAAGCGGCUGCUUUUGAAAACAUUUCUGCUGCUAUUUUCUGCUGCUUUUAAGAUGUAUGUAUGUGUGUGUGUGUGUGUGUGUGUGUGUGUGUGUGUGUAUAAGCAUGUGUGUGUGUGUAUGUGGUAGCUAGGCAAUGUAUGUUUUUGUAUUUAAGAUAUACAUUUUAAUUUUAAGAUAAAUAUUUGCUAUUACUUAUGCAGUGAGAUGGCCUUUUCAUGUUCCAAUCAAAAUCAUAAAAACACCAAGAGUGCUUUGGUGAUUCCACUCUGGUUGCAGAUAAUAUUUUUUUCUGAUAGAUUAGUUAGCCUUCAAAAUUCUUUACAUAUGAGCAUGAACUAGCCAUAAUAUUAUCGCCUUGAUCACACUGACAGCAUCAUUGUGCAUUGUCUAGAUAUGUGUGCAACAAAAGUUCACCUUCUGCUACCAUUUUUGUCAAGCCGUCUACACAUACAGUUUGACUCAUAUGUUUGAUAAAUCCAACGUUUGCACCACACAGAACGCACUGCAACUGCCUCUGCAACGCAAUGCUGUAAGUCAAAUGCAGCAUUCCAUUGGAAAUGAAUGUACUUCUGGUGUACUAAAACGCAAUGAAGCUGUUGGUGUGACUGAGCCAUUUUAAGUUGGAUUUAUCGUCAAACUGUAUGCAUAGAGGGCUUGACAGAAAGGGUAGCAGAAGGUGAAUGUUGAAGUUUUGUAGCAUACAUUUCAAGAUGAUGCUGCGUACCAUUUUGCGCAAUAACACUGCAGGUGUGAUCAAGGCAUUAUCCAUCGAACUAGCUUACGGCUCAGCUCGUCUCACUACUUUAGCUAAUUAACAUAGAUACAUACAGUGCCUUGCGAAAGUAUUCGGCCCCCUUGAACUUUGCGAC